rnacentral:rRNA from 1 species
AUUGAACGCUGGCGGCAGGCCUAACACAUGCAAGUCGAGCGCGCGGCGGACGGGUGAGUAAUGUCUGGGAAACUGCCUGAUGGAGGGGGAUAACUACUGGAAACGGUAGCUAAUACCGUAUACUAUCAGAUGCGCCGAGAGGGGAUGAGCUAGUAGGUGGGGUAAUGGCUCACCUAGGCGACGAUCCCUAGCUGGUCUGAGAGGAUGACCAGCCACACUGGAACUGAGACACGGUCCAGACUCCUACGGGAGGCAGCAGUGGGGAAUAUUGCACAAUGGGCGCAAGCCUGAUGCAGCCAUGCCGCGUGUGUGAAGAAGGCCUUCGGGUUGUAAAGCACUUUCAGCGGGGAGGCGUUACUCGCAGAAGAAGCACCGGCUAACUCCGUGCCAGCAGCCGCGGUAAUUC